GACGAACGCUGGCGGCGUGCCUAAUACAUGCAAGUAGAACGAGUUGCGAACGGGUGAGUAACGCGUGGUAACCUGCCUCAUAGCGGGGGAUAACUCUUGGAAACGAUAGCUAAUACCGAAUACCAUCCGAUGUGCCCAGAUGGGAUUAGCUAGUGGGUGGGGUAACGGCUCACCAAGGCGACGAUCCCUAGCUGGUCUGAGAGGAUGACAAGCCACACUGGAACUGAGACACGGUCCAGCCUCCUACGGGAGGCAGCAGUGGGGAAUAUUGCACAAGGGGCGCAAGCCUGAUACAGCCAGGCCGCUUGUAUGAAGAAGGCCUUCGGGUUGUAAAGUACUUUCAUCGGGGAGGCGUUACCCGCAGAAGAAGCACCGGCUAACUCCGUGCCAGCAGCCGCGGUAAUAC
rnacentral:rRNA from 1 species